rnacentral:rRNA from 1 species
UUGCUCCCUGAUGUUAGCGGCGGACGGGUGAGUAACACGUGGGUAACCUGCCUGUAAGACUGGGAUAACUCCGGGAAACCGGGGCUAAUACCGGAUGGUUGUUUGAACCGCAUGGUUCAGACAUAAAAGGUGGCUUCGGCUACCACUUACAGAUGGACCCGCGGCGCAUUAGCUAGUUGGUGAGGUAACGGCUCACCAAGGCGACGAUGCGUAGCCGACCUGAGAGGGUGAUCGGCCACACUGGGACUGAGACACGGCCCAGACUCCUACGGGAGGCAGCAGUAGGGAAUCUUCCGCAAUGGACGAAAGUCUGACGGAGCAACGCCGCGUGAGUGAUGAAGGUUUUCGGAUCGUAAAGCUCUGUUGUUAGGGAAGAACAAGUGCCGUUCAAAUAGGGCGGCACCUUGACGGUACCUAACCAGAAAGCCACGGCUAACUACGUGCCAGCAGCCGCGGUAAUACGUAGGUGGCAAGCGUUGUCCGGAAUUAUUGGGCGUAAAGGGCUCGCAGGCGGUUUCUUAAGUCUGAUGUGAAAGCCCCCGGCUCAACCGGGGAGGGUCAUUGGAAACUGGGGAACUUGAGUGCAGAAGAGGAGAGUGGAAUUCCACGUGUAGCGGUGAAAUGCGUAGAGAUGUGGAGGAACACCAGUGGCGAAGGCGACUCUCUGGUCUGUAACUGACGCUGAGGAGCGAAAGCGUGGGGAGCGAACAGGAUUAGAUACCCUGGGUAGUCCACGCCGUAAACGAUGAGUGCUAAGUGUUAGGGGGUUUCCGCCCCUUAGUGCUGCAGCUAACGCAUUAAGCACUCCGCCUGGGGAGUACGGUCGCAAGACUGAAACUCAAAGGAAUUGACGGGGCCCGCACAAGCGGUGGAGCAUGUGGUUUUAUUCGAANCAAC